rnacentral:rRNA from 1 species
AACCCGGGGAACUGAAACAUCUAAGUACCCGGAGGAAGAGAAAGAAAAAUCGAUUUCCUAAGUAGCGGCGAGCGAACGGGAAAGAGCCCAAACCAGAAACUUGUUUCUGGGGUUGUGGAUAGAUCAUGAAAGAAGAGGUAUCUUAAUCGAAGAGGGCUGGAACGCCCUACCAUAGAAGGUAAUAGUCCUGUAGAUAAAAAGAGAAAACUUCGAGAUCUAAUCCAGAGUACCACGAGACACGUGAAACCUUGUGGGAAGCAGGGAGGACCACCUCCCAAGGCUAAAUACUACCUAGUGACCGAUAGUGAAGCAGUACCGUGA